AAUAUGAACCCCACUGACAUACUGUGUAUCGGAGGAGUUUUGUGCCUUAUCACACUGGCAGAGCUAAAAGUGUGAUGGCUGCUUUGGGGAGUAGAAGAGGCUGAAAUGAAGACAAAGAGUGAAGAUGGAGAAACAAGAUGGCGGUGGUGGAGAGAACCAGCGAAGAGAGAAGGCUAAGGUGGUGCUGAGAAGGAACAGAGAGACUUUUCUUCUUCCUAACAGCAGCAGAGGGAAGAAUCCAGCUGAAGACAAUCCGGAGACAUCUGGCUUCAGGAGUAACAGAUCGUCUGGUCGCUGACUCCUUCAAAAUGGUGAUGCCAGUGCUUCAGGUGUGGGAACGAUGCUUAAAGACUCACUGACCUACGGGAACAGAGGGACAGAUGAGGGAUGAGAGAAGAGAUGGUGGUUGGCUGCCGUGAAAUCUUGGAUACAUCACAGAUGGGUAAAAACAGCCCCAUUUGAGGAAUCAGAAACAACCUGAAGCUUCUUCGUGGACAUACUUCAGCUGAAACCAGGACGCAUCCUGGGUCUUGGGACUGCUGGCUUUUGAACUAGAACCACACCAUUGCUUCUCCUAGUUCUCUCCUUGCUGACUGCAGAUCUUGGUACUUCUCAGCCACCAGAAUCAUUAUCCACAGCACACUGGAGGGGAAAGCUUGUCAAUCUGAAAACACUGGUCGGACCAUUUCACCAGAGUCAAUGAUUCCUUUAUCAUACUGUCCAUGCCACCUCAACUGUGAUGAGCAUACAGAACACUCGCCGUAUGACCAACCACUAACCCUG